rnacentral:rRNA from 1 species
GGGGAUAGGACUAAGACAUGCUAGUCAAGCGCUCACCAGCCAAAAGGUGAGUGCGGCUCACAGCUCAGUAACACGUGGCUAACCUGCCCUUGGGAUAGGGACAACCCCGGGAAACUGGGGCUAAUCCCCAAUAGGCGAAGGCUCCUGGAAUGGACCUUCACCCGAAAGGAUGCUUACGCUAUGCUCGUAGGCUUCGCCCAAGGAUGGGGCCGCGACCGAUCAGGUUGUUGGUGAGGCAACGGCUCACCAAGCCUAUAACCGGUGCGGGCCGUGGGAGCGGGAGCCCGGAGAUGGGCACUGAGACAAGGGCCCAGGCCCUACGGGGCGCAGCAGUCGCGCAAACUUUGCAAUACACGAAAGAGUGACAGGGCUAUCCCGAGUGCCGUCCGCUGAGGAUGGCUUUUACCCAGUCUAGAACGCUGGGGGAAUAAGGAGAGGGCAAGUCUGGUGUCAGCCGCCGCGGUAAUACCAGCUCUCCGAGUGGUGUGGAUGUUUAUUGGGCCUAAAGCAUCCGUAGCUGGCCAAGCAAGACCCUUGUUAAACCCACCGAAUUAAUCGUUGGCGUGCGGGGGAUACUGCUCGGCUAGGGGACGAGAGAGGCAGACGGUAUUCUCGGGGUAGGUGUGAAAUCCUAUAAUCCCGAGAAGACCACCAGUGGCGAAGGCUGUCUGCUAGAACGAGCCCGACGGUGAGGGAUGAAAGCUGGGGGAGCGAACCGGAUUAGAUACCCGGGUAGUCCCAGCUGUAAACGAUGCAUGCUAGGUGUUUGGACGGCCACGUGCCGUUCUAGUGCCGCAGGGAAACUGUUAAGCCUGCCGCCUGGGGAGUACGGUCGCAAGAUUGAAACUUAAAGGAAUUGGCGGGGGAGCACCACAAGGGGUGAAGCUUGCGGUUU